rnacentral:lncRNA from 1 species
CGCUCACUCUGUGUGCUCAUACGUCUCCAUCACACUCUAUGUGCUCACACGUCUCCAUCAUGUUCACUUUGUGUGCUCACACGUCUCCAUCACACUCACUCUGCUCUCAUGUCUCCGUCACACUCACUCUGUGUGCUCACACGUCUCCAUCACGCUCAGUCUAUGUGCUCACACGUCUCCAUCACGCUCACUCUGCUCACAUGUGUCCAUCACGCUCACUCUGCUCUCAUGUCUCCAUCACAUUUACUCUGUGUGCUCACACGUCUCCAUCACGCUUAGUCUAUGUGCUCACAUGUCUCCAUCAUGUUCACUCUGUGUGCUCACAGCACAUCUCCAUUAUGUACACUCUGUGUGCUCACACGUCUCCGUCAUACUCACUCUGAUCACAUGUCUCCCUCAUACUCGCUCUGUGUGCUCACAUGUCUCCA